GAAAAAUUACUACCAUAGAGUCCGUUGAGGUUUUGCAAAGAGAGGAUAGAGAGCUGUGGAUCAGCUAUUCUUCUUUAGAUUCAAUGAGUACCUUGAGGCUUUAUGAAAGCUUGAAAAGUAAGCUUGAAAAGAAGCACUGGACUUUUGAUGGUUGCCCCAGAGGUUCAUUGUAUGAUUUCUAUGAGGAGUACUGGCGUCCUUUUGGCGCUAUUCUUGUAAAAAUGGAAACAGCUGGAAUGCUUGUUGACCGUGCUUACCUGUCAGAGAUUGAAAAAGUUGCUGUUGCACAGCGAAAAGUAGCUGCAGAUAAAUUUCAGAAAUGGGCAUCUAAAUAUUGCCCUGAUGCAAAGUACAUGAAUGUUAAUAGUGAUACCCAGAUUCGCCAACUCUU
rnacentral:rRNA from 1 species